UGCAAGUCGAACGCUUUGUGCUUAAUUGAUAUGACGAGCUUGCUCUGAUUUGAUUUUUUGAUUUCAAAGAGUGGCGAACGGGUGAGUAACACGUGGGUAACCUACCUCUUAGCAGGGGAUAACAUUUGGAAACAAGUGCUAAUACCGUAUAACAUCAACAACCGCAUGGUUGUUGAUUGAAAGAUGGUUCUGCUAUCACUAAGAGAUGGACCCGCGGUGCAUUAGCUAGUUGGUAAGGUAAUGGCUUACCAAGGCAAUGAUGCAUAGCCGAGUUGAGAGACUGAUCGGCCACAAUGGGACUGAGACACGGCCCAUACUCCUACGGGAGGCAGCAGUAGGGAAUCUUCCACAAUGGGCGCAAGCCUGAUGGAGCAACGCCGCGUGUGUGAUGAAGGGUUUCGGCUCGUAAAACACUGUUAUAAGAGAAGAACGGCACUGAGAGUAACUGUUCAGUGUGUGACGGUAUCUUACCAGAAAGGAACGGCUAAAUACGUGCCAGCAGCCGCGGUAAUACGUAUGUUCCAAGCGUUAUCCGGAUUUAUUGGGCGUAAAGCGAGCGCAGACGGUUAUUUAAGUCUGAAGUGAAAGCCCUCAGCUCAACUGAGGAAUUGCUUUGGAAACUGGAUGACUUGAGUGCAGUAGAGGAAAGUGGAACUCCAUGUGUAGCGGUGAAAUGCGUAGAUAUAUGGAAGAACACCAGUGGCGAAGGCGGCUUUCUGGACUGUAACUGACGUUGA
rnacentral:rRNA from 1 species